UUCCAUGGAAAUCCAGAAAGAGAAGACUAUAAAUUAGACCCUACUGCAGCUGGGCUUUUCAUAGCUGUAAAUUGAUCACAGACAACAAAGCACUGGCAAAAAUCCUCUCAAGGUAACCAGCAAGCUUUGAAAGACUCCCCUGUCAUGUAGGGAUGAACAUGAAACCUUUGGAAGAUUUUAAUGAGAAAGUAUAUGAGAUAAAAAACAUGCUGGUCCAUACUUGUCUCCCAUUGGCAAAUAUCAGAGAAUUGAGGACCCCUGCAUUUCUCUACUAAGUCUAAGACUCAGUUUCAGGUAUCCAGUCUGAACCUACCAGAAAAAAUACUGCCCCAAAGUCUUCCACAUGCCAGAAGUGUUCUUAGACCCAAGUAUCCACACUAUCGCAAAGAGGAGCGGCUGGCUCGGUGACAUUGCUUGGAAGAGCUGCUGCUACUGUGGUUGCUGGCGGGGCUGCCAGGGCCUCAUGAUGACUUUCACUCACCAUUGUAACCCCUGUGGAAGCUGCUGUUGGAAGAACAACAACAACAAAAAAAAAAACAAAGAACACGUUUACAUCAUGAAAACAAGAGCAACAGCAAACAGAGAACACGUUUACGUUAUGAAAAAGGAUCUCAUAUCAAUCAAAGACUAAAUAGGCAGGAUAUCACUAGGUGCUCAUGCUUACUGAGUAAAUAUGACCGUGUCAAUGCACUGCUUCAUGUUCUUCAUACAAUAUUUAUUAGAACAGAGAGAAAAGUCUCUUGCAGGGUUAAUUUCAGCCAGAAUCAUUUUAGUGCUUAGUGUUCCUCUUCAAUCACAUUGAGUUCUGAACUGCUGAAAUUGAAAACUCAGAAUUCUUGUAAAACUCACACAGAUUUACCUUUUGCUCUUCAAUUCUGAAAGUAAAGGCACAAAGGGUAAUUAGUG